rnacentral:misc_RNA from 1 species
GGAACUGACAAAAUUGAACAACUUUCUUUUUUAUUCGCAUGGCUUGUUGGACAACUUAAGUUACUGAAGCCCUUUUGCACCAAACGUGCCAAAAACAAAACUGAAGUCUUUGCAACAGAGACAGAUAUGUCAAAUCCAAUUCUGAUGGAGGUGUUGCGUAAAUGUCUUAUGAUAUCGUCAUGUGGCAAUAAGCAACUUAUGGAUUCAGCAUUGCAUCUUGCUGAGCUUAUGG